AAAACAUUUAAAUAAUGUCCCAUAUAGUACAUUAGAUAAUAAGGUAUCGAUGAACCUAGAUUUCUGUCUUGCUCUCACUGAUAUAAUCUUUGGAAAUCAAGAAAAACUUCUUUGUAUAAAUAAUCAUUUUAACAUCACUGCUUUAGUUGCGGUAUUAUUUUCAGAGGUAAUCAGAAAUCCAGAGAUGAUAUUUAUUAACCUAAUUGCAAUGACAAUGGAUUCCUUAAAUACUUGGAAAGACUUCCGCCAGAUUAUGCCACCUUUAGCUGGGGGAACCUGGGAAAAUAAACAGGAGUGCUGUCCCAAAUUUAUGAAACGACUAAACCUAUUUUUUUCAAAAACAUUUUCUGAAACAUUUACUGAAAUAACUUCUCAUUAAUUUUCUUUCAUUAAUUUAAUUAACAAUGAAACAUGUAUCAUUAUGAUAAUGCAGUACGGUAGACAAAAUAAACAAAUUACUAUGAAUAUUACUAAACCAAACUUUAACCUGGAUUUCUAAAAAAGACAGUUGUAAACUCAAAUUAGACUUCAUAGGUCCUUUUAAUGAAAAUACUGUAUUUAAAAAAAUAAUAAUCCUAAAACAAAAUAACAUCUUUCAAGAAAGUAACUAUGUGAUUUACAUUAAUAGUUUGUAUGAUUAUGUCAACGUAAUUGUGUAUUUCUGGAAAAAUAAGGAAAAAAUACAAAAUAUAACGGACCCGAUUUAUAUAAUAUCAGGGAGUCAUAUUUCUUUAAUAGAUAGGUAUGACUUCUAUAUUAAAACUGAGCUCAGAAUUAAUGAACACACUAUCCCGUAUGCUAUUCAGGGAGGCAAACUUAAUGUAUCUGAUAUUGUAAUUAAAGGAAAACAUUUAAAUCAUGUCCCAUAUAGUACAUUAGAUAAUAAGGUAUCGAUGAACCUAGAUUUCUGUCUUGCUCUCACUGAUAUAAUCUUUGGAAAUCAAGAAAAACUUCUUUGUAUAAAUAAUAGUUUUGACAUCACUGCUUUAGUUGCGGUAUUAUUUUCAGAGGUAAUCAGAAAUCCAGGGAUGAUAUUUAUUAACCUAAUUGCAAUGACAAUGGAUUCCUUAAAUACUUGGAAAGACUUCCGCCAGAUUAUGCCACCUUUAGUUGGGGGAACCUGGGAAAAUAAACAGGAGUACUGUUCCAAAUUUAUGAAACGACUAAACCUAUUUUUUUCAAAAACAUUUUCUGAAACAUUUUCUGAAAUUAUUUGAACAUGGAAAUUCUUUGAUUAAUUGAAUUUAUUUUAAAAAGUUGUCCUUCAUGGAAGGGGCGGGUGGUGGAGGGUCCAAAUAAAACAAAAUAAAACAUCCCAAAAUGUUAUAAAAUAUCAACAAAUUCAUCUUCAUUAUCCCCCACGUUGUUCCACCUCCGCUUCUGGGAGGAGCCAGGCGGGGCCACAGAGCGGACUCCCCCAUCUCAUCCCACCAACUCUGUCAGUCCACCAGGCCCCACAAUGCAGCCUCCACACCACUGCAGUAACAGCCAUAUCUUCCCAUCACAAAGCUUCAGUACUGUCUCAAUGUGUUGAAGUACCAUCCAGGAUCCUGUGGCAACGUCAAUGUGAAACAGCAUUGACCCGUGAUCACCACCAACCAGGGCUCCACAGCGGUAUCCUUGGACACCCAGUGAAUCCAGAGAGAGCACACCAGGCAGCAUUGAGCACUUUGAUGAGAUUGGCUGUUCAGCAGGAAGAUUCAUCUGGCUACACAGAAGGGAUGAUGGCUCUGACCAAUAAAAUUCUAUUUUUGAAACUAUAUAACUGAAUAAACUAUGAUUUAACUAAAAACAUA